rnacentral:rRNA from 1 species
UACGUAGGGUGCGAGCGUUGUCCGGAAUUAUUGGGCGUAAAGAGCGUGUAGGCGGUCAGGUAGGUCCGUUGUGAAAACUCGAGGCUCAACCUCGAGACGCCGAUGGAAACCAUCUGACUAGAGUCCGGAAGAGGAGAGUGGAAUUCCUGGUGUAGCGGUGAAAUGCGCAGAUACCAGGAAGAACACCCGUGGCUAAGGCGGCUCUCUAGUACGGUACUGACGCUGAGACGCGAAAGCGUGGGGAGCGAACAGG